GUGUUUGUGGGGUGGGGCAGGAACUGGCCUUUGAAUAGCACACAACAGCCACUUUGAGAGCCUCUAAGAAGCUUACUGUUUUCCUUUCUUUUUCUUCCAACCUCAAGAAAAUAAAGACAGAUGAAGGUUAAGGCUGGGUGCAGAAUAAAAGAAGUCUACUGCAGCAGACUAAAUCUGAAGGACUCGUGAGCCCAGCUCCAGAAGCCUAGUGCCUAGAUCCAGAGGAGCCUGACCAAGGGAAGAGUGUGAGCUGAAGUUUCUGCAAAGAGGCUGCCUUUGUACCGAAAGAAUUUUUGGAUUGUUUGGAUUUUACUCAGCAGGAGUAAUGAAGACAAAGGACCACAGGGAGGCACAUGUAGCCCAAAGAACAGGCUAAUGAUGCCAGCAGGCUCGGUCCUACUGUGAGACCUGCCAUUACCAGCCGAGUAGCCUCUCUGGGUCUUAGCCAUCUCAUCUGUGGAGCAAGAUAAUUGCAGCUACCUCAGUGGUGUCCAACUUUUAAAACAUCAAAAAAAAGAACACUGCAUUUUGAAAUGUUUUAUCUACCAAGUUGCAGGUACCAAAUAAUUUAUGUUUCCAGGAGAAGACUGUGUUGAUCUGACUCCAGCCUAAAGCAAGGGAAAUGGAACUUCUAGAGUAGCUCACUCCCCAGGGUGAAGAUCCUACUAUUUUGAAAGACUGAAACUGUCUCCCAGGUUCUCUUUGGUUAGCUCUGUGGACUCAGAAUGAGGCAGAGAUGCACUUCCCGACCACUGACCUAGGAAAUCCCCAAGGCUCAGCUCCCUACUGUGUGCUAGCGCCUGGAGCCCCUGUGUGGCCUCCUUCCUGCUCUCAGGCUCAGUGCUGGCUCCUGGAGUCCUUUAAGAAAACCACGCCCAUCCAGAUGCCAUGCUCUUCCUAGUUGGAAGACACCUUGCUGGCCCAGCCCACCUGCCAGCCCUCCCUGAAGAUGGUCUUCUCCCUCCUUGUGCGGAAGGGGCUGUCCUGCUUCUAGCUUCUUUCAGAUCCCUGUCCUGCAGCCUUGUCCCAAGAGGGCUGGGACCUUCACACAGACUAAGGAAGGAGCAUGGAUCCUAACUCCUUUGGUCAGUGAGGAGAGGGGUAAGACCCAGUCUGUUUCACUAAGCUAGGAUGCAGUGUCCAGUAGGCUGUGAGAGCACUGAGUGAUGAAUUCUGCAUGCUAAAGGUCAGGGUGCAGGGUGAAGGCGUGGCUGAGUCAGGCCUGAAUGGGUAGGGGAACCAGGUCAGCACCCAGAGAUUGAUGGCACUGAGGACGGUGGGCUGAGCUGGGCAGGGGCAGGGCUCGGAUCCUGCCUAGCUACUAAUGUGCGUGAGUUUGGCAUCUAAGGCAUCCUCUCUCCUUCCUUCCUACAAAUACUUCCUGAGCAUACUUUUUGUGUAUGCCAAGUACCCUGUGUAUACCAGGUAUGUACCAGGAAUAAAACAUACUUUGUCUUAAAGGAGCUUGCAGAUCAGUGAAGAAGAAACACGAAGAACUUUCUCUAGCCCCUCUUCAAGGAGACAUGUUCUAGAUCCCAGACUAGUAUGUGGCUUGUCUUCGUGAUGGCACCAGGUGCAUGCCAUCAAGCCGAGGAGCAACCUCAGCAACUCUCAGCCUGGGUGGGACAAAUACCAGGCUGCUGGCAUUUGUCCCAUCUGGGCGGGGAAAGAGAUACUCUGAGUCUUCUCUGUUGGCUCUGCCUGGGGCAGGGAUGAGGCCAGGUGCCCUUAUCUGCUCCAUGAAUCUUAAAUAGAGGAAAGACUUCCCUAGGGGGCCCUGAGCUUUUCCUUCCCCUCAUCCAGUGGUUUCAGGGAAUAUGGGGUGGGGCAUGGCCCUCAGGAGGUCAAGCUCCAAGUCCCCUCUUGAGUGUGCACUUUAGGAGAGGAGGAAGGACAGUUCUUCUGCAUGCCUUGCUGGACUUGGACAGGCAGAAAGGGCAAACCAGGGGUGCGGUCAGUCAAUGGAGAGACUCAUGGUAAAAUCAUCACAAAAUAAUCUUCAGUGGAGCAGCAACGCGGGGAGAUCUGGGGGGACAGGGGCCAGUGCUGGUCACUCUGUACAUCAAUCUUUACCAAGCAUCUCCUGAAGCCAAGGGUCAUUUCUUUAAGGCAUUCACAUUAAAGUUGGUAAGUAUACAACAAGGAUCGUAGGCAGAGUGGGACAGCUGCCCUGGGAGAGGCUGGAGAGCCAACAGGCAGAGGGAACGAGUGACAGAGGGUAGGUUUUGAAGCAAGGUUCUGCAUGAGUCAGGGCUACAUCUGGCCUCGUGUAACAGAGACCUAAAUGCAAGGCUUAGGCAGAAGUUUGCCUUCUCAUAGCAUGGAGUGUGGAGGGAGGAUUGCAGAGGGCUCAAACAUGUCACAAAAGGCCCCUUCUGUCUUCCACGCCAGCUUCCUUGACAUGUGGUUGUCAUCCUCCCGGCUGAAAACCGAUUUUUCAUGCCUGGCCAUCACAUCAGAGAAUUUCCAAGGAGCAAAAUGACAUGUGCCCACUCUCACUCUUCCUUUGUAAUUUUUUUAAAAAAGUUUAUAUCCCAUUAGCCAGAAUCACAGCAUCACUCCUAGUAACAAGGCAUCCUGGAAAAAUUAAUAUUUUUAGGAGGACAUCAAUCUUCCUUCCCCAGACAAAAUCAAUGUAUUCUGAGAACAGAUAUAGGCCAGGAACUAGUGGCAUCCACCGGAGCCCUGCACAAUGACAGAAUACGCUCAGGCAGGUGUGUCAGGAGGGCUUGCAAGCACACCAGUGCAGCCAGAGCUCAGGGAGUGAGUGGUGGGAGGGUAGACUGGGCAGCUGACCUCGCCUGGCUUUGUGGAAUUGCUCCCCUGUCUGCACCCUCUACAGCAGUGGGUUAACCGACGGGGAAUCAGCAGUAGCAGACAGUGCAAAGCAACUGGAAAAGUCAGGAUCAGCUGCCAUGAGACAGGACUGGAAUUUAGGGCAAAGAAAAUGACAGUGAAUCCCCUGUCAGCCUCAGUGACAACCAGAGGGCACUGUUGGGUGGGCCCAUCAUAAUCUCAAACCAGCGCACAUCCCCCAGGAUAACCCGUUGUCCCUCACUGUUCCUGAGUAAGCUGUUGAGUUAGCUGUAUCCCUUAGCUUCUGCCUGAGGUCUGUUUAUUAUUGUCACUCUUUCUGUCUAGUCUCAGUUGUUCAGGGCCACAGGGAAUGGUAGUGGCACUAGGCAGAGCAGAGAGCUAUGCAGAAUGAUUGGCAUCGAUGAUGCUGACUCCAGCUCUUAGGUAUGUGAUAACCCUUUGUGUAACUCUUCCCAGAGGCUCCUGAGAUGGGACCUGUACCUGGAGAGGGAGGGGAGCAGCCAUGUCUUGCUAUGAGUAUGUCAGUAGAGGCCUGGGUUUUCUACCAGGAGGCACCUCUCUGAGUCACUGAACCCAGCUGGCUGUCAUCAAUAAAUCUCUCUGUUAUGGUUAGGAUCUGAAAUGCCCCCCCCCCCCCCCGCACGCUCAUUGUGUUGCGUUGAUUGCCAGCUAACGGCUCUGAGGAAGUGGCUGGCACUCACUUUUCCGGUGGAUUAACUCACUGAUGGCUUCGUACUCCCACCCGCUUCCUGGCUGCCAUGAGCCAUGAAGUAAGCAGCUCUGCUUCACCAGGCCCUCUUCACUGUGAUGUUCACCCUCACCACAAGCCCAAACGCGCGAGAGCCAGCCAGCAGCUGUAGAAUGGUAGGACCCGGAAACCCUGAGGUGGUGAGCCCAAAUAAAGCUUCGCUCUGUGAAAGCUGAUUAUCUCAGCGCAAUGCUGUGAUUCCUGAGAUGCUGAACUACAAGCAGAUUUCCAGCGCCCCUUACAGAGGAAUGGCAGAGUGGAAGGACCAAGGGAUUGACAGUGUUAUCAUCCAGCCUCGUUUCCCACCUUUUCCAGAACACUCUACUGCAUCCUUGCAGGAAGUGGAGAAUUAUCAGGGACAGAAAAUUCAUCACAACUCCUAACCUCUCCAGCACUCAGAACUAUUAAUGGGAAAUUCUGUCAGCUAAAAGGAAAAAAAAAUCUUCCUCAUUUUACACAACUAUGGGGCACCAUUGCGUUCUCUUUACCAGGUAUUUUGCUGGGCACUAUCCAGAAAAAUUCCAAGGAAUGCUACUCUGAUCCUGCAAGUUCAGUUCUAUUAUCCUCAUCUGACGGAGAAGAAUCCUGGCAACCAGAGUCUGAGAAAUUUGCCCAUCAUUGUGAGGCUAGUGGUCAGCACCCUUGGUAUGAGACAUUAGAACCCCAAGCUUGUGCUCUUUCCAUUACACUGGAAUUACAUGGCCUUGUCAUCACUGACCUCUGUGGUGGGGCUGCCCCGUGCAUUGUAGGAUAUGUAGUGGCAGCAUCCCUGGCUGAAUCCCCCCCUAGACACUGAUAUCAUUCUUCCUUCAGUAGUGACAAUAAGUUGUUUCCAGACAGUGCCAGAUGUCCUCCUGGGGAUGGGAGGCACUCACAGCAGAUUUGUGUCUACUGCAUUACACGCGGUGUUCUCUUCUGAGUUAAAUAUUUUUCUUCUGCUCAUUGGCCUUUGCUCUCCCCUGUGAAGUCAUGGGAACACCCAUUUCAUCUUCACCUGCCUGGAUGUUCUUCGUCUCCAAAUCUCUUCUCCAAACCAAACUCCAACUUUCCUUCAUCAUUUCUCAACACAUGGUGGCUGCUAAGCCUUUCACCAUGGUGCCGCCCUUUACCAGUGAUCAUCAGCUGUAGACCAAUGCACCAGACAAAACAAAGAACUUUCUCCAUCACAUGUCCUCUCUUCUCCUCCAUCAGAAGUAAUCAUAUCUGCUGUCUUUCCUUUGUGAAGUUCUUGAUGUAUCUACUAAGGGCUGGUGUUUCCUCUUGUAACCCCCACCAAAGAGGGGUCUGAUGUCCCUUUUUCCAUCUUAAAUCUCCCUCAUUUGUGCCAUGCAGUGGACGUGAUGUGUCCCCAGUGGGCUGUGUGCUGGAAACCUAGUCCUCCAUGUGGCACUGCUGGGAGGCUAUGGGACCUGUCAGAGGCCUGGUUAAACUGGAAAGGACAGUGCAAGCCCUGCCCUCAGAAGGGUCUGAUAUGUUUGUCAUGGAAGCUCAUGAGAGUGAGUUGGUAUAAAAGAGUAAGAUGGGCCCCUCCUCACCAUCUUCUUUCUUAUCUCAUCAUAUGAUCUCUCCCUCUUACACAUGCUUCCACCAUGAUGUGACAUAGCCAAGAAAACCCAACAGAACUGGAGCCAUGCUGUUCAGACUUCCAGCCACCAAAAUUGUAAGCUAAUAAAACCUCUUUUCUUUGUAAAACA